AGUCUUACUUUGUGCUGCUUUAACGUGGCAACAGUCUCUUCUUCGUGGGAAGCCAGCGGAUGAAAGCUUAAGCGAAAAAGCUGAAGUACCAUUGUCACCUCGUUGUACGUGCCACUCAAAGAAUUUUAUAAAGGAUGGCGAGGACCGAGGAACUUCACGUCAUUUCAACAGUCCAAAUACACCACCUUCUGAAAGAAAUGGCACUUCAUCAACUUGUCAAGACUCUCCUGAAAAAAACUAUACUGGCUGCAAAGCUAUCUGCCGAUAAACAGGCAUCCAUAUGGAGAGAUGAAAAUGGUGAUUUUCAAGUAGAGAAGAAUUCAACCCUUAUAAACUACACAGCAGGUAAACAGAAU